AGAUUCCAUAUACAAGUGAGAGCACGCAGCAUUUGUCUUUCUCAGCCUGACUUACUCCACUGGGUGUCAUGCCCUCCAGGCCCAUCCAGGCUGUCACAAAUGGGGCUGGAAGUACGAUUUCACACAAGGCACCUCUCUGCUUCCUGUGACUCCAAGGAAGACAAGAAUGGCUACUCGAUUCACGGUAGUGGGCACAUGGAGUGAGCUCCUGACUUGUGUGAGAAGGAUAUUUUUGACUACGCGGUAUCUUCUGAGAUGAUUUUAAUUGGACGGAGAUGAGGAGGCUGUGUGUUGAAACACAGGUGGAGCAGGGACUACGGCCCUCGGCGGCCAAGACGGUGAUGAGCAGAAUGGUACCUGCAGGAGAGGCCCGGUUGUGUCAUGUGGAUCUUCUCCAGGAUACAAUCAUGCUGUCAUAGUGACGAUUAUGGAAGUUCAGAACAACACCCAAAUCCCCUGAAACCUGUCAUCACACUUAAAUUUACAACCAACUCUCUAGAAUUCGAUCUUUCUUCCCUGGUUUUACGCAAGUUCCAAAUGGUGAGCACUCUGUGAGCUCAAUGUGUGCCUUUGAUAGCUUUUCUUUGAAACGUGGAGAAGGAGACUCCUUGUCUUCCACGCCAGCUGGCUGUGUGCCUCCGGUGUGGUGCAAAGAGGUGACAAAGUCUGUGAGGAAGCCCCAGCUUAGCAGCACGUGGGUGCAAAGGCCCUGGGGCAGUGCCCCUGCGGGGCUGGGGCAGGUGAAGGGUGCUAGUGUGUCAGCUUUGGAGCACCGUCCCUUUCAGUGGUUCUCGUUUGUCGGUUUGUGAAGAGCUGCGUUGGGAGGAAUCUCCAGUGAAUGUUUCCAUCGUUUCCGCCGGACAGAGAAUAUGGGACUGGAGCCACAGGGAGGCACGUGCUCUUGAGCAUAAGCCUCUCCCGGGGGAAGCUGGCAGGGAUGCCUCAACCCUCACCUGAGGGCCAGAACUGCGGGCUGGGCAGGUGUGCUGCGGGCCACCUGUUCCCCGGGAAGGGCCCUCCACCCACCUGCUCCCUCAGGAAUGGCCUUCCAACUCACCUGCUCCCUCAGGAACAGACUUCCAACCCUGGGGAUGGCCUCCCACAUGCUGGGGAAGUGGCCGUCCAGCUCAGUUCUAAUGGCCUCCCGGCCAAGUUGUCACAUAACCCACGGGCCGAUUCAAGGUUUCUCUCCCCUUUAAUCCAAAGGACACGCUCUUUUUUAAAAUAAAGCUUGUGAUGGGGCACCUGGGAGGCUCAGUCAGGUAAGCGUCCGACUCUUGGUUUCGGCUCAGGUCCUGAUCUCAGGGU